rnacentral:lncRNA from 1 species
CGGAGCUGCUCAGGAAAACACGGCGAUUAAUAAUGCUGAGCGGACACAUGUGAACCCAACUGGAGAGACACCACUGUCUUUUAAAAUACAUUUUCCUGCAAGCAAACCUGAAGCAAAACCACAUUUCUCACUCUGAUUUCUCAGAUUUGAUGCUGGAAUGAAAGUAGCUCUACAGAAAACAGAACCAUCUUCAGUGAAGAACAGGAAUUUUAUUUAAAUCUUCAUGCGUAGGCAUGAUAGACCCCAAUUUUACUUCAGCAAAUAUCACAACAAAAAAAAAUCCAAGCAGCCUAUACAGAACAGUGAAAUUGCCAAGGAUGUGGGCUCUCCACAGUGCCACUGCAGAAUCCAUGGGUUCAGAAGCCUCACUUUGGCUACGUCAUUUAUAACCAUUAAUUAAAUAAAGGUAGUCUUCAACCAUCACUUCUUGACUUCUCCAAGAUCUUCAAUGCUAUCAUCAUCCACCUAGGG